rnacentral:rRNA from 1 species
AACGAACGCUGGCGGCAUGCCUAACUCAUGCAAGUCGAACGAGACCUUCGGGUCUAGUGGCGCACGGGUGCGUAACGCGUGGGAACCUGCCCUUAGGUUCGGAAUAACUCCCCGAAAGGGGUGCUAAUACCGGAUAAUGUCUUCGGACCAAAGAUUUAUCGCCUUUGGAUGGGCCCGCGUUGGAUUAGCUAGUUGGUAGGGUAAAAGCCUACCAAGGCGACGAUCCAUAGCUGGUCUGAGAGGAUGAUCAGCCACACUGAGACUGAGACACGGCCCAGACUCCUACGGGAGGCAGCAGUGGGGAAUAUUGGACAAUGGGCGAAAGCCUGAUCCAGCAAUGCCGCGUGAGUGAUGAAGGCCUUAGGGUUGUAAAGCUCUUUUACCCGGGAUGAUAAUGACAGUACCGGGAGAAUAAGCUCCGGCUAACUCCGUG